CUCCUUGCAGGGGUCCAUGAUUCCACCCAGAGAUGCAGAUACUUGCCUGGGGUUCCAAGCGAGGGCCCCCCACCUGGUCACCACCAGAACCUGGAUCUCCCCGGCACUGGAAUGAUCAGGGAUGCUCUGAUGUGCCAGAAGACAUCGUUCAAUGACAGCACAUGCUUCAGCUCACAGGCUAGGGACCCCCCAGUCAUGCUAUGAGGAUGCUCAAGCUGCCCUCCAGGGAGGAUUCUCCCAUGCACCCCCAGUCCUCAGCCAGCACCAACUUGCCAGAGGGAGUUGCCCACUCCCCCAUGGAAGUGAAUCCCCAGCCCCACAUUCUCAGCCUUGGCUGCCACUCAGAAACAGAUUCUGUAUCAGAAGCAUGAAACAAGCUGCUUCCUAAUUCAAAAAUCACGAGAGGGACAUGCUCUGAGCUAGUGCGACAGGGCCCGGUCUCUCAGGAGGCCAAUGAGGAAAGAGGAGGACAGGAGACAAUGGGUUUUCCCAGUGGCCUGCAGGGUCCAUAUAUGUUAGGAAGCAUGACCCAUCUUACAGAUGAAGACGGUGCAAUGCACCCCGGGGCUCCACCUCCCCUCUUGAGACUGGCCCAACCUUGCUAUUUAGAGUCCUCCAGCCUCCCAGGCUGGCUUCUUCCCUCCCUUGUUUGGAGCAUCACCCUGGCCUCCAGCAGAAAGCAGACGAGGCUCUUGCUUCCCCCAGCCUGGAAUGGGAACUGCCAGGUGGAGAGGCUCGAGAAAGCACCGGAUCCUUUUGCCCCCUCCACCAGCCCUAACUAAAGCACACCAGAAAUACCUACAUUUCUGGAAAGGGAUACAGCUUUUAUUUUUUGAACAGACCAUCUGGAAACAGAGGUGAGAAAUCUACUGGAAAACUUAGAAGAAACUGAAGGGGGGGAAAAAAGAA